rnacentral:misc_RNA from 1 species
UUUUCAGUUGAUAUUCAUUUCAUGCUGCAAUAUUGCUCAAAAUAUAAAGAUGUCGAGGGAAUGAGUCACAAUAUGAAGAUUUAGGGGAAGGCAAUAGAAGCAUAGAACAAAAAUUAAAAGGUGGCGCAACAAUCUUUGAAAAUAAAUUUGGUCUUAUGCCAGGAAGAUUGACUAUGGAUGCAAUUUUUCUCUGGAGAGGAUUGGUUAAGUAUCAUUGUAUCAAGCAAUCAUAUGAUACUUAUUGAUCUAGAGUAGUUAUAUGAAAGAGUCCUGAGAGAGGUUCUAUGGUGGAUUCUAGAGCAGAAAAAGGUAUCUAUUCUAUAAAGGAUUAAAGUUGUGGACAGAUAUAAGGGGUAGUCAUUAGUUUUCAAACAGUCUAGGGUGAUAUGGUAGAUUUUCUUAUCAUUGUUGGAUAACACCAAGGACUGGUCUUAAAUCCUUAUCUUUCUCUUUGGUGGAUGAGUUGAAACACAUUUAAACAAUAUCUUUGUGGUAAAUGAUGGUUGCCGAUGAUGUUGUUCUAAUAAAAGGAUCUUGAUUCAGGGAAUUAUCAAAAUGCUAGGGUUAUGGAGAAGCACCCUAGAGAAGGUCUCAAGUUAAAAAGAACUAAACAGUGAGUUUAUGCGAUGCAUUUAGCUAUGGAAGGUGGAACAAGAAAGGUUGGGUUAGCAUAGUUGGCUUAGGGGUCUUGCAAAGUACAAGCACACAUUUUAGAUACCUAGUACAAGUAUAUUAAAAGCAAAGAGAAUGUCAGUUGUCAGUAAGGGUAAAAUAUGAUGGGUGAACUGGAGAAGUGUGAUAUGAUACGAGUCUGAUGUGAUUGCAAAAUACUAAUUAAAUUGAAGGAAAAGUUUUGCAGAACUUCUAUUUGACCAGUUAUGAUAUAUGAUAAUGAGUGAUGAUUAAUGAAAAAAUGAACACAAGAUUAUUGUAGCAAAGAUGACAAUGCUAGGAUGGAUGUGUAGAAAUAUAAGAAUUUGAUAAGCAAUGAAUGCAUUCAUAGAUGGUAGAGGUCAAAUGCGCUGGUGAGAACAGUUGGGCAUAUUGAAGUUGCAGCCAAAAAGAAAGUAAGAGGCAAACUUAGGGUGAUGCUAGGAGCAGUGAAAAAAAUAUUUAGUGAUCCUAACUUCUGAAGAUGUAGCCCUAAAUUGAGUGCAAUGAAGGAAAAAAAAAAAUCCAUGUAACUUACCCCAUCUAGUUUGAGGUUGGAUAUAGUUGAGUUGAGAUGGGUAAGUUGUAUUUUUCCUGGUCUAAGAUUAUGUCAUUGAAGAAAUUAACCUAUUCUUUGAUGUUGCAGGUUUUAACGGAAUAUGUUCUUGUUUCAGUAACUAGUGCUGUCACAGUGACUAUUGCAGGUGUUGUCAAGGAGGCUGUCACCAUAUU